rnacentral:rRNA from 1 species
AGGAGCUUGCUUUUCUUAGCUUAGUGGCGAACGGGUGAGUAACGCGUGAGUAACCUGCCCUGGAGUGGGGGACAACAGUUAGAAAUAGCUGCUAAUACCGCAUAAUGCUUUUGAGCGGCAUCGCUUGAAAGCCAAAGAUUUAUCGCUUAAAGAUGGGCUCGCGUCUGAUUAGCUAGUUGGUGAGGUAAUGGCCCACCAAGGCGACGAUCGGUAGCCGGACUGAGAGGUUGAACGGCCACAUUGGGACUGAGACACGGCCCAGACUCC